rnacentral:tRNA from 1 species
GGGAUAUUAGCUCAGUUGGUAGAGCACAUGACUUUUAAUCAUGGUGUCCCGGGUUCGAAUCCCGGAUGUCUCA